UCCUGCUUUCCUGACCCUCUCCGCCAUUUAAAGAAACAGUACCGGGGGCGGGCCGAGCGACGCAGCCGGGACGGUAGCUGCGGUGCGGACCGGAGGAGCCAUCUUGUCUCGUCGCCGGGGAGUCAGGCCCCUAAAUCGAAGAAGCCCUGGCGCGCCCUCCCCCCCUCCCGGGUCUGGUAGGGCGAAGGAACGGGCGUGCGGUCGAUCGAGCGAUCGGUUGGCGGCUCUUUCUCCUGCUCUGGCAUCCAGCUCUUGGGGCGCAGGCCCGGCCGCCGCGGCGCGCGCCCGGUGGCCGUUGGCGCUCGCGCCGCGUCUUUCUUCUCGUACGCAGAACUCGGGCGGCGGCCUAUGCGUUUGCGAUUCGACGAGGAGUCGUCCGGGUGGUCGGCGGCGGCGGGCAGCUGCUCCGCCCCGCUCCGGGGGAGGCGGCGGCGGCAGCGGCCGCGGGAUUUGGAGCGGCCGGGGAGGCGGGGGUGGCCGGGGCCGGCUUGGAGGCCUGGCGCCACCCUUCGGGGCCUGCAAGGACCCAGUUGGGGGGGCAGGAGGGGGCCGGAGGAUGGUUGGUUGUGGGAUUUCUACUUUGCCUUUUCCUCCUUAUGCCGCCUUAGUGAGGGGCGGGAGCUCUGGCGGCAGCCCCGGGGUGGGGAGACGAGCUCCGGAGUCGGAAGAGCUGGGUUUUCUUCCGGGCCUAGCCACCAGUUGGCGGAGUGACCUUAGGCGAGUCACUCUGUAAUUUGUCUGCGCCUCAGUUUCCUCCUCUGCCUAUCAAUGUGUGUGGGGUUGAAAUCGCUUUGUAAACUAUAAAGCGUGGGUGUACGUAAAGGAUGGUUAUUGUUUAUAAUUUUUUUUGAGUUGUAAGAAAACUUAGCAGUUCCCCAAUCCUUGGGUUUUGAACCUGGGAACCUUGGAUUGGAGUUGGGGAUCCCCAAACUUCCUGAAAUUGUGGGAAUGUGCGGUUUGGGGGAAUGAUGGGAAUUUGUGGGAAUGUGCGUUUUAGGGGAAUGAUGAUCCAUCGCUAGCAAGUUUUCCAAGGGGGCUGUGACCCAGAAGAGUUAAGAAUCACAAUUUCUUCAUGCUACAGAGAGGAAACUGAGGCCUAGAUGUCAUUUGGGACCCUUCACAACCAUUUUGAAGCCCUGUUUGAGUCCCUGGGAUAUGUGAGCUGUUUCUAUGCAUAAUGGAUAUUCGGGGUUAACAACAGUCCCCUGCUUGGCUUCUAUUCUGAAUCCUUUUCUUUCACCAUGGGGUGCCUGAAGGGUGGCUGAUGCAUAUGGUACAAUGGCACCCAGUGUAAAGCAGCUACAAUUAGGAGUGGAUGUGUUCUGUAGCAUCCUAUUUAAAUAAGCCUAUUUUAUCCUUUGGCCCGUCAACUCUGUUAUCUGCUGCUUGUACUGGUGCCUGUACUUUUCUGACUCUCAUUGACCAUAUUCCACGACCAUGGUUGUCAUCCAUUACUUGAUCCUACUUUACAUGUCUAGGCUGUGUGGUUGGUGGUGAAUAGGCUUCUUUUUACAUGGUGCUGCCAGCCCAGCUAAUUAAUGGUGCACGUGGACUUUUAGCAAGCGGGCUCACUGGAAGAGACUGAACCUGGCAUGGAAUUCCUGAAGAUGUUUGGGGUUUUUUUCUUUCUUAAUCGAAAGUUAACAUUGUCUGAAAAGUUUUGUUAGAACUACUGCGGAACCUCAAAAUCAGUAGAUUUGGAAGUGAUUCAAAGCUAAACUUUUUCCUUGGCCCUCCUUGUGUUCUAAUUGCUUGCAAGUGUAAUACUAGGAUGUCCAAGAUGCCAGUUUUUGCUUCUUUGUUAGUUGUCAGCUGCUUUUAUCAAAUUUCAGGCCAUUAUCCAACAAACACUAUAAAAAUGUUUGAACAAUUGGAUUUCAAACAUUUUCGUUUUGUGGAGUGGUGCUCACCAAGUGGUACAGCCCUAAGCAAGUGAACACAAACACAUUUAAGUGUAUUUUGUCUGAUUAGAUGUUAGCCAGUUAUGCUAUUUCAUUCAAAUGUCUGAAAAAAUCAAUUGACUAUUCCCUUUUCCUAAAGGGCAGAGACAGAUAAUCUCACUUCCAGAGAAAUGACUUGGAGAAAAAAAAGUGUUGGUCUUUUUGCUCUUUUGUAAUUAAAUCCGGAUGUACCUCAAAAGACUUAAGACUGUGGUGAUAAGAUGCUUUCCUCAGCAGAAAGGAGGGAAAAAAAACAACUGGAACUCAAAGCUUGAAAUUCUGUGGCAAAACAUGAGAUGUCCAGGAUUGGAGGUUGAAAAGAUUUCACUACAGUGUUCUGCAAUAGUUGGAGCAGAUAACUUUCAGUGUAGCCACAGCCAUGGACUCCAGAUUUCCAGAUUUUCAAGACCUGGACCUGGAACCCGAAAGAGCUUGUCACGAUGCGGCAGGAACACUGGAGGUAGAUUUUUUUUUAUUUUUGAAUUUUGGGACUGUUGACCUUGCUGUGAGAAAAGAGACAACGACUGAGCAAGCACUACCACCAGCACUGUUACUGGGAAUUAGAAGACCUGAGUUUCUGUCCAGACCCUCAGUGCAAACUGAGGAUGCUCCAUCCAAAGUGAAUUAUGCCUACAGACCUGGUACCUGGAUUUUUGCCCGAGAUGAUUCCUACCACCUUACUACUGACGAAGACACCCAUUCCAGUGGACCACUGUGACCCAGGAGGCAUUCAGCCAUCAUGAUGUGGCCUUUACCUCCACUCCUGUCUUGUUCUACCCAGAUUCAGCACAGCCCUUUAUAGUGAAGUCAGAGUCCUCAAGCCAAAUAGCUAAAGCUGUUUUAUCACAACAAAGGCCUAGUUUGUUCCAUGAGUGUGCAUUUCAUUUCUUCAGUUAAAGCCUUCAGAGACACACAAUAAAUUUGGACCAGGGGAUUUUUUAGUUAUUAAUGCUCUCUGAAGAAAGGCAACAUCUUUUUGAGAGCAGCAUUGGACCACACCCCACAAUCUCAAAUGAUUGAAAUUCAUGAACAUCUAGGAUCCCGUGAAGGUCACUGGACCCUGUUUUUUCUACUUCAAAUCCUGUAGUAGCCUACUGAAUGAGAAAACAUAUUCUGACCCAUUGGGAUCAAAUCAAAGGCACAGUGAACUCCUCAUAGCAUCUUCUUUGGAAUUACUCAGGAACCAGAACUUUUUACACAAAUGUAAGAAAUUCUACCAAGGAGUCCCCUUACCUAACAGCAUCUCACAAGGCUGCACCAGAUUCCAGAAAAGGCUUCUCUUGAUACAUCAAGCAUUUUGUGACCGACUUAUUCUUAGAUCAUUGGUUUUCCAAAGGCUUUGUGGCCAUGAAGCCCUUUGAGUGAAAACUGUGCAGAAGCCCAGAGUAAAAGUGAAGCUGCUCUGGAUGAAGUAGUGAAGCAAGAGUAGGGGCCUGAAUCCUGCUACAACUAUCUUCCUUUACCACCGUGGUGACACCUAAGGGGACUUCCUUACAACACCUUGAACUCUUCCGAACACAGUUUGAAAACCACUGCCCCAGACAGCAAUAUGUUUGACCUGAAUGGCAUUCCAAUCUUUUCUGUACCUCCACUCAGCACAGUUCAUGUUCAGUAGAUGCUGAACAUUCUUAGAAAUACUGUGUGUGAACUUAGAAAAGUGCAAGAAGACAGGCAUGUCUUUGACCCCAGGAAUGAUCAUUUGCUGAAGAUGGUGUCAAGUGAACCUAGAUUAACAGCCCUCCACUCCAGAUGGAUAUCCAGUGAUUCCUAGAAUGGGAUAUAGCCAGAGAACAAUUCUAUGCACCCUACACUGACAGACUCCCUUAAGCAACACCAGAUGCUCUACUGGUACUUGAAGUACAUGACUUUGAAGUCUUGACCCUCCAUGAAUACCUGAAUUAUCAGCAAGCGGGUUUUGAAGCUGGUGCCUCAUUGAGGCCAUAUUAGAGCAACUUGUACAUUUGACCUCUUGUUAUCAGCCAUGGUACUCUACUUCGUGUGCAAGAGAUAACUAUGAAAGCCAAAUUCAAAUACUGGCAACAUUUCCUAAAGGGGCUCAAUAUCUAUCAUUCGUCUUCUUUUCCAAACUACACAUCACUGUAUGACUCAACCAGUAGCAGUUAUAUUGCCCCUUGGUUUUUAUUCAGUUUAACUACUGUUUCCAAGAUAAAUGAGCUAAUAAGCUUUAAAAAAAAAAAAAAAAAAGGCUGAAUUCUUUUUUCUUCAUCACUGGCAUAUCUGCCUAUUCUCCAGAAUUAUUAUGACUAUUCAGCUCACUUUAACAGUUGAACUUCAAGCGACAAUCUUUGAACACCCCUUCUCAUGUGAUUUAAAAUGAAACCAUUUGGAAAAGUUUCUUCUAGCCAGUAAUAGAUUUUUUUUUUAAUUGCUCUGCCUUGUGCCGAGAGAUGUUCUUUUAAGAUGAAUCUUUUGAUGUCUGAUACCACCAAAUAUAGGUGGUAGGGAGAGUUGGAGGCUGGCCCUUUGAGCAGGCCAUUAGCUUACUUGCUGGGCAUUUCCGAUAGCUUAUUGCCUACCUUUUUGCUGGAAACAAACUGAUUUGAAAAACAAAAUCUAUGAAGACUGCAGCUAAGGAUUUUAUCGGUAGACUUAAGAGCUUUUGUCCUUGUGGAUAUUUUAGUGGAACCACAUCAGUCUCAAUACUGUCAUUUUACACUGACUCAGAGCAGCUGACUUCAUUCCUUGCCAUGAUAUAUAUUUAAGGCAGGCAUUGUAACAGACAUAAAGACAACUUAUCUGUUUCAGCAGGAAGGAUUCAGUUUAUGAACUCUCAGACCAGAUCAUGUUGAACAAGGAGACUUUGAUGUGUGUCAUGAGAAAACUCAUUCUUUACUUCCCAGUCAAUUUAAAGGCCAGCUAUCCUGAGCUACUCGAAUGAAUGCACUGGUUAAACAUUGGAAAUAGUUUGUUUAUAUCCUUGUCUCUCUCUAGGCCAAUUGUGAUUACAUGACUCGACUCUACAUCUCGUCAAACAAGGCCUAGGUCUGGUUGCUGUAGACUGCUCGCCCUCAACAAAUAAAAUCUGGUUGACUAGCCUCCUUGUAUAUACAACUAUUAUUUGUUAAGAAGAAAUUAUCGUCAAUUUUCUACUACCUUCCAAUUGUCAGCUCUUUUUUUCCUCUCUGGUUUUUCCUAUACUUUACAGAAAAAGACAUUGAUCUAUACUGCCAUUCCCUCUAAUCCUGCCAUACUCAGUCAAAAGGAAUGACUUAAGAUGAAGAUGAUCAUCUGCUCGAGUCUAAAAUAUACAUUGUAUAUAAGAAUUGGUGAUUAGAAAAGCAAAAAACCUAAAACUUAAAUCUAGGAGUCUGUAUACUGUCUCCAUGUCUCCAUGCCUCAGAUCUCAUCUAAAUCUUUGAACAGCACCAUUCAACCAAUCUGAGGCCUUGACUUGCUUGUAAGAUGAUUCUCAGAGAUCGGCUGAGUUAAAAAAGAUGACGACUUGAUUACCAAAGAAAGUAGGGCCAACUUUGACAAAUCUGGCUCUGCUGACCCUGUCACUCCCAGAUGUAGCAUAGACUCCUAAACAGAACCUCAAGUCUGAUUGAGGAUAAGGCCUUCUCCUGAGCUGAAAGUUCUUUGGCAGAUGAGCAAGAAACUGAAAGCUGAUGUACCUGACUGGCUCUGUAAGAUCAGAAAACUGUAUCCAGAAUAAGCCCUAUGGAUUAACCCCUGAGUACCCAGAGUAAAAACUAAUUUACAGAACUUCCUUAUUGAUCUGCUGGUUCUUCCAGAUCAUAUUCUGGCUAUUGGUAUGGCUGGCCUUUCUGAAGGUACCCUGCUUGUCUAUUUUCCUGACUCAGCUCUUGCCUGCCUUUUUCACAUGUUGCUGCAAUUAGACUCACCGUGAGGACUACAGUCAAUUUCAGUCUAUCUUGUGCCCAAUACAACAAGGAUUUUUAAUAGUAACAACCCACACCUCACCCACUAGGACUCAAUGUUCACAACAGGAAGGACCAUUGCUGCAUACUCCUUGACCAGCAACUUUUUUGAAGAUAUUUUUAAGUGCAGAGUAGGCCUCUAUUCCUGUAUGUAAUUGUUCAUUUUCAGCACCUGGAACCUCAUCUAUCGGGUCUGGAAGGAAUACAGCAGUUCGAAAGCCGCGUCCAUUUCUCUCCUUCAGUAGUGCAGAAAUGAGUCCGAUUCACCAGUACACACAGAACUGUACCAGUUCAACCUAGCAAAAGAAGAAAAGUUUCCACUGUACUUAAAAUUUACAGCUGACUCAAAUUGCCUCACAGAAUUAUUUGAUGUAGAAGGCUAGUUGUCUUACUUCAGAUCAGCAGGACAGUUGGGCUCUCAGACUCAUGACCACUGAGUUUGCUUGUGUUGAAACUGUGGUUUCAUCCAACAUAUGCUAUUGGACAUGAUUAUUAUUCCAUUCAAAUGGAUUACAGACUUCUUGAGGACAGGACAAACUUAUCUCUCAUGGUGUUUUUUUAGAAUACUUUUAUAACCAAGGAAGAAACCAUGCCAGCUGUUACCAUUCAACUUCUUAAGCAGAGAUUAAGCUUUUUCAUAUCUGUUCUUAUCCUGGACAUCAGUAGUUUUUAAUUGCCCAGCAUCCGUUCCAUCUUGUAACAACUCCCUGAUGUUUCUUAAAACCACCUCUUCCUAUUUUCAGUCUGUGGUUUGGACAGUCUGACCCAACCUUGAGCUUUGUGGGUGAACAUGUAAUUCAGACCUCAUCAAUCAGCAAAUCCAUCUGAACUGUGGAGGAGAAGCUCUCUUUACUGAGGGUGCUUUAGCUUUGUAGGAUGAAAACCUCAAACUAACAGGGCCUACCAUGUAGAGAAUGAAGCCAGUGCAGGGGAAAGCAGAGCCAAAAUAUGGAGAGACUUGAAUCCUGAUGACAGCGUUUGUGCCCCUGGAUCCAACCGUGCCUGAAGCUAGAAUAUCCCCUGGACUUUUCAGUUAUGUGAACCAAUAAAUACCCUUUUUUGCUUAAGUUACUUUGAGUUGGGUUUCUGUUACUUGAAAUUGAAUCCACACUAAUAUAUCUACCAACAUUGAGACUUGACAGAUCCAAGUAUUUAUUAAGCUAGAGGUCAUGGUCACUGAAAUUACUUUCCAAAGUGGAAGACAAAAUGAAACAGGAACUGAGGGAAUAUUUAAGAUCCCACAGAAGCGUAAAAAUGACAUGGUAGAAAGUAAUAGAAAACCUAAAUGUCUGUCAUUAAAGGAUAGGUUAAGGUGUGGUUCAGCCAUAUAGGAAUAUCUCGUAUCUGUUAAAAUGAAUAAAGUACAUUCAUUGUGUAUGGAAAAAUGGCCAUGAUACAUUAGGUGAAACAAGUUAUUAAUAGAAAAGUGUACAGUGUGAACUCAUUUUAAAAUGUGUGUGCUUAUGUUUAUAAAUGCAUAGAAAGGUCUAUUCACAGCUUUCUUUGAACAGUGUAGAUCACAUGAAACUUUCAACUUUAUACAUUUCUGUAUUAAUAUUUUACACUACCCACAUUAUUUUUAAACUUUAUUUUAAAUAAAGAAUUUUUAAAAUUAAA
rnacentral:lncRNA from 1 species